GAGUGAACGCUGGCGGUAGGCCUAACACAUGCAAGUCGAACGGCAGCACAGUAAGAGCUUGCUCUUACGGGUGGCGAGUGGCGGACGGGUGAGGAAUACAUCGGAAUCUACUUUUUCGUGGGGGAUAACGUAGGGAAACUUACGCUAAUACCGCAUACGACCUACGGGUGAAAGCAGGGGAUCUUCGGCCCUUGCGCGAUUGAAUGAGCCGAUGUCGGAUUAGCUAGUUGGCGGGGUAAAGGCCCACCAAGGCGACGAUCCGUAGCUGGUCUGAGAGGAUGAUCAGCCACACUGGAACUGAGACACGGUCCAGACUCCUACGGGAGGCAGCAGUGGGGAAUAUUGGACAAUGGGCGCAAGCCUGAUCCAGCCAUACCGCGUGGGUGAAGAAGGCCUUCGGGUUGUAAAGCCCUUUUGUUGGGAAAGAAAAGCAGCAGGUUAAUACCCCGCUGUUCUGACGGUACCCAAAGAAUAAGCACCGGCUAACUUCGUG
rnacentral:rRNA from 1 species